ensembl:lncRNA
UAGAACAGCCAUCCCCACACACACUUAGGAAGAGUUCUCCUAGAUGGCAACAAGAAACAACACAAGGCCAUGUAUCAUUUUCAACAAACCUUUACAAUAAACCAGUCUUUCAACACCACCCCCAUGCGUCCUUUUGUCUUGGGGAGCCUAAUAUAAGUUGCAGAGUGGGAGUGUAGCAUGGACCUUGCUAUAAUAAUAUUUAAGAUUGGAUAUUCAAAUUCGUUUUUAACGCAUUUGCCAUAAAUUCUCUUUAGUUUUCAUAAAUCAAAUGCUAGGCAGAUAAAUUAAUAUAGCUUACUCCAUCUGGCUCCAAAUUGCCUACCCUCCCUUUCAUCUUCGACGCUUGCGAUAUAUCGUGCACAAUGAUACCAAAGCUUCAAAUAAGCAGUGAUAUUAGAUAUCAUAGUGAUAUUGUAAUUUAAAUUAAAAAAUAGCAUCGCAUCGUUGAUGACGACCUCUAGUGGCGUGGAGGUGAAGUGCGCAAAUCACACGUGUUCGAUUUGUAAACACACCGGGUGGCACUUGCCUGAUAAUGGCACGUGAGGUGAGUGAGCACGGGUGAGGCAAUAAAGGUCCGCGAUUUCCGGCCGGGCUAUGAAGGGUUUGUGCAUUGGAGGACACGAGGGCACGCAUUGGUUUUCAACCUAAUCCGAAUCCGAAUCAUAAUACGGAAUGCUUGUUGAUCAUGUAUUAACCAAUUCAUGUUCAAUAAAAGGAAGGGGAAUGAUUUGAGCUGUCCUGCGUCCUCUGUCAAGUGCCAUUUCAAGUUGGUCAAGCACAAAUGAGAACAUAACCCAGAUAACUUGACAAUCAUACAUCUAUCUGAAUAUAAAUGUUGUUUGAGAGAUUUCUCUUUCAUUUCUGUAUGUCAGUAUCUGCAACAAAAAAAAGUAAAAAAAAAAAAAGGAAAUGUAGGCCUAACUUAACUGAAGAUGUAUACAAUUCACAGGCUGCGUUGUAGAACAAAUAUGUUUUUUAUUAUAUUUGUUUCAUCCCCGGUUACAAAUCACUCUUUUCAAGCCACAACUAUUGCACACAAUGAAUGCUGUUCAGCCACAUAACUCCUUUAGCGACUACACGAAGCGCCCUUUAGUGCCAGUCAGCCAAUAUAAAGCAUUAUCUUGGAUGUAUCCCCUGCAUUAUAAUAUGGUGAGCGAUGAAUAAAGAUAUUUUAUCUCGGGGGCACGGCCACUCUUCGAAGAGCAGUGAAGGGGUCUUGACCACACAGCGAGAUGUACUCCAGCACUUUGGAGUUCAUAUUUUUCUCGGUCUCCUUCAAGCGGUGGCGCUCUUUGUCCCACCUCUCUUUCUCUCCGUUCAUUUGCGAGAACAGAAACGCCUGAAUGGAGCGUAACGGGGCGGCCAGCACGCAAAAAAAAACCUGCAAGGCGUGGGAGAGCGCCUCGCCCAAGCUGAGCAGCACCGCGCACGUCAGAUUGGGAACUGUUUCACACACCAAGCAUAUCGCUUCUAUGAAGUGUAGCGUGCCCCUCCGCCAAUGAGGUUGGUGGUGGGCGCUGUGUUUCGUGUUUCCUUUUGGGGAAUAUGGAGGGGGCUGCUGUUGGGCGCGGUUCAAGAAGUUGCUCGCGCCGCGGAUGAUGUGGCUGGCCGCGCGACGUAGCUGGAGGAUCGCCAAGUAGAGGUGGCAUGUCGCCUUGGUUAGCGCCUGGAAGAGCAGCCGCAGCUCGUGCACAACGUUGCCUGGGGAUAAAGAGUACCGGGUGUCAGAGUCGUGAUUAUUUGCAUAAAGUUAACCGAAGUUCAACUUUUGUCCCUCACGCACGCCGUUAGGGAUACGCGCCGCGAUCACGCGCGCCUUCCCGUUGCCGUGCCCAACGCUCCUUCCCAGAACCCUCAGACCAUUUUCUUUCUUAUUUUCCAAGUCAGUUCCUUACCUGCCUAACUGUGAGCCAAAACGAUUACUUUUGUUCUAAUUGCAGCUGAAACAGUUGGUUCACUUGCACUUUAAAGUGUAGGGAAAACCCCUUUUUCAAUUGGAAUUUAAACACAGAAUAAAAAAAGUAAUAGUUUUGGCUCACAAUUCUUGGCAGGGCAGGCACUGACGUCAACAAACUUUCCUGGAUUCCCCAGACGCUGACUUGGUGUCUAUUAUAAAG